ACCUAUGGCCACACCGGACUGAACGCACCCAAUCCUGUCUGAACUCAGAAGCUAAGCGGGCCCAGCGAGUACCUGGAUGGGAGACCGCCUGGGAAUCCCAGGUGCUGUAGGCU
rnacentral:rRNA from 1 species